CCAGAACAGCUGUAACAAAGAACACAGACUCACUCGGCGACUUAAGCAAACUGUUCUGCAUGCUGGAAAUCUAAGAGCAAGCUGUUGAUAGGAUCUGGACGUGCUGCUAUGGGACUGUAACCUAUGGGACUGUAACCUCAGUGUUCCAGAGGCAGAGACAGGGAGACCACAAAGCUAAGGGGCAGGAAGAGCAGGCUCUCACUGCCUGCUCUGGCAACACUGGUGAGCUAUGCUUGAAGAGAACUCGGCUGUGGGCCUUCUGGGCAAGAUGUAACCAAGAGAAAGCGUUUGAAAAUGUUCUUGGAUGGGCAGUUCCCGGGCCCCUCCGUGCCUUCCUUCCUCAGAGGGAAGAGACUCAAGGGGGAAGAGGAAAAUCACAGCUUGCAAACUCAUGGUGAGAGGAGCCGGCGAGGCAGAGAGAAUGCACAACCCUGCCCAUCUCACAGAUGGAGAAAUCCAGGCCCCGAACAGCUCGGGGAUGUGUCCAGACAUGGCUGCCAGUGAGUCAGAGCCUAGAAAAGGAGGCAGUCUGCCUGCGCCAUGGGAGCUUUGUCCUCUGUGUUCAGUAAAGGCACUCGGGAACUGA